GAUGCUCACACUUACGGCAUUGGACCGUGAAGUCUUUGGACUUCUGAACAUGGGGUGACAAAUACAGUACGAGCCAGACACGUUGCACUUUAUAACUGCAUGAUGCCUGACUUGAUGAUGAACUUAAUUCACGUACUGACAGAUGUGUCAAGGGAUGAUUCAUUCAUGGUAUUUGUGAUAGAAAAAACAUGCCUUGUAGCAGACAAUCGGUACAUUGGGGACCCAGGUGGUGCAGCACGGCCUCAUCUCGGGGGCUGAUUAGCUUGGCAGUGAGCGGUAACCAGUGGGGCACCGGCUUCCGAGCACCCAGUCAGGGUUUUUCAGGGCCAGGUCAUACUUAACAUGUUUCCGCUUCUGUAAGAGCGACUUUGCAUUUCCGCAUGUGCGUACAAGCCGCACGGUUCCAUUCAUGCAAAAAGUCUAGCAUUACACGCAUGGGUACAGCAACAGUCGACAUAGCCAACCAAAUACAACUAUUUGGAAUCCUCUUAUUGUUCGUUUUAUCCAUUUCUAUAGUGUUUAAUGACUCGAACAGAGUGCUCCAUCACACAAAUAAAGGAUCUUUGGUGAUACCUGGCAGUGCUGUGGGGGUGGAGGAGGAGAGGCACCAGAUAUUCCUCCUCCAUUAUUUCCUCCCUGCAUGGACUACAUUCAUCACUGACCAGUUGGAAUUAGGAAUGCCACUAUGUGACACGACACCACAGAUAUUUCUCUUUGGCAUGCUAAGAUAAUGAGUCAGACUACAACUGCCGUAGUCACCACGUGUCACCGGUGUAACAAAUGUGCCCCGGGGGCAACUUGCCAGAGACGUUAGUGCAGUCAGUCCCUGCCUCCCUGGUCUGUGAAGCCCGUGGCUCUGACAUCAUCGUCACCAUCAUCAUCAUCAUCACUACCAGCAACUGAUGUGCAGAAAAUCCUCCACUCAUCUGCAGAUCUUGCAAACAAAAACAGAAGCAGAACAAGAACAAGAGCAAGAGUACAAAACAUUUGUCUGUCAGUGUGUAACCAAAUAAAGAUGCACUCAUGGGAAA